UCUGGUKGAUCCUGCCAGUAGUCAUAUGCUUGUCUCAAAGACUAAGCCAUGCAUGUCUAAGUAUAAACAAUUAUACAGUGAAACUGCGAACGGCUCAUUAAAUCAGUUAUCGUUUAUUUGAUAGUUUUCUACAUGGAUAACCGUGAUAACUUCAGAACUAAUACAUGACAGCCUUCUGGCGUAUAUAUUAGAUACAAACCAACAGUAUGGUGAUUCAUAAUAUCUUGUCGAACCGAUCUUCGGUGUAUCAUUCAAAUUUCUGCCCUAUCAACUGUCGAUGGUAGGAUCGUGGCCUACCAUGGUAACAACGGGUAACGGGGAAUCAGGGUUCUAUUCCGGAGAGGGAGCCUGAGAAACGGCUACCACAUCCAAGGAAGGCAGCAGGCGCGCAAAUUACCCAAUCCUGACACAGGGAGGUAGUGACAAUAUAUAACGAUCCGGGGCUCUUUGAGUUUCGGAAUUGGAAUGAGUACAAUUUAAACACCUUAACGAGGAACAAUUGGAGGGCAAGUCUGGUGCCAGCAGCCGCGGUAAUUCCAGCUCCAAUAGCGUAUAUUAAUGUUGUUGCAGUUAAAAAGCUCGUAGUUGAAAUUGGGCGGGCUAUUAGUUUAGGCCGCUUCAGGAAGAACUUCUUCCAGUUACUUUGAAAAAAUUAGAGUGUUCAACGCAGGUUUCGCCUGAAUAUAUUAGCAUGGAAUAACAUAACACGACGAGGGUCCAUUUUGUUGGCUUGCAAACCCACGUAAUGAUUAAUAGGGACAGUCGGGGGCGUCAGUAUUGUGUUGUCAGAGGUGAAAUUCUUGGAUUUACACAAGACUAACUACUGCGAAGCAUUCGCCAAGGAUGUAUUCAUUAAUCAAGAACGAAAGUUAGGGGAUCAAAGAUGAUCAGAUACCGUCGUAGUCUUAACCGUAAACUAUGCCGACUGAGAAUGGGUACCGCUUAUACGGUAUACGCGYCUACGAGAAAUCAAAG
rnacentral:rRNA from 1 species